rfam:Clonorchis sinensis DNA, scaffold: 83, strain: Henan.
GCACUGCUGACGAGCUCUAAAAAGAGCGAAACUCAAGUCCAGUGC